GGCUGUGACAUAGUGGUUUGAGUGCUGGACAACAACUCUAGAGACCACGGUUUGAAUCCCUGCUUGGCUG